rnacentral:rRNA from 1 species
AGAGUUUGAUCCUGGCUCAGGAUGAACGCUAGCGGCAGGCUUAACACAUGCAAGUCGAGGGGCAGCAUAAUGGAUAGCAAUAUCUAUGGUGGCGACCGGCGCACGGGUGCGUAACGCGUAUGCAACCUACCUUUAACAGGGGGAUAACACUGAGAAAUUGGUACUAAUACCCCAUAAUAUCAUAGAAGGCAUCUUUUAUGGUUGAAAAUUCCGAUGGUUAGAGAUGGGCAUGCGUUGUAUUAGCUAGUUGGUGGGGUAACGGCUCACCAAGGCGACGAUACAUAGGGGGACUGAGAGGUUAACCCCCCACACUGGUACUGAGACACGGACCAGACUCCUACGGGAGGCAGCAGUGAGGAAUAUUGGUCAAUGGACGCAAGUCUGAACCAGCCAUGCCGCGUGCAGGAUGACGGCUCUAUGAGUUGUAAACUGCUUUUGUACGAGGGUAAACGCAGAUACGUGUAUCUGUCUGAAAGUAUCGUACGAAUAAGGAUCGGCUAACUCCGUGCCAGCAGCCGCGGUAAUACGGAGGAUUCAAGCGUUAUCCGGAUUUAUUGGGUUUAAAGGGUGCGUAGGCGGUUUGAUAAGUUAGAGGUGAAAUUUCGGGGCUCAACCCUGAACGUGCCUCUAAUACUGUUGAGCUAGAGAGUAGUUGCGGUAGGCGGAAUGUAUGGUGUAGCGGUGAAAUGCUUAGAGAUCAUACAGAACACCGAUUGCGAAGGCAGCUUACCAAACUAUAUCUGACGUUGAGGCACGAAAGCGUGGGGAGCAAACAGGAUUAGAUACCCUGGUAGUCCACGCAGUAAACGAUGAUAACUCGUUGUCGGCGAUACACAGUCGGUGACUAAGCGAAAGCGAUAAGUUAUCCACCUGGGGAGUACGUUCGCAAGAAUGAAACUCAAAGGAAUUGACGGGGGCCCGCACAAGCGGAGGAACAUGUGGUUUAAUUCGAUGAUACGCGAGGAACCUUACCCGGGCUUGAAAGUUAGCGACGAUUCUUGAAAGAGGAUUUCCCUUCGGGGCGCGAAACUAGGUGCUGCAUGGUUGUCGUCAGCUCGUGCCGUGAGGUGUCGGGUUAAGUCCCAUAACGAGCGCAACCC